rnacentral:rRNA from 1 species
ACGUACGCUGGCGGCACGCCUAACACAUGCAAGUCGAACGAAGUAGCAAUACUUAGUGGCAGACGGGUGAGUAACAUGUGGGUAUCUACCCUUUGGCCUGGAAUAACACGAGGAAACUUGUGCUAAUACCGGAUAAGUCUUUACGGAGAAAGCUUUAUGCACCAUUGGAUGAGCCUGCACUUGAUUUAGUUUGUUGGUGGGGUAAUGGCCUACCAAGGCAAUGAUCAAUAGCUGUUCUUAGAGGAAGACCAGCCACAUUGGGACUGAGACACGGCCCAGACUCCUACGGGAGGCAGCAGUGGGGAAUCUUGC